UCUCUCCCUUCAAACAAAACCUCU
rnacentral:snRNA from 1 species